ACAAACCACCCUAGUCAAGUUUCAAAGUAAGUUUGGACACAAACCAAAUGUAUAUGGCAUUUAGAUUUUUGCGAGUGUGUUUGUUUGUUUACCUCUAUACAUUCGCACUAUGAACCAGUUGAACCGUUGAACCGGUGCAGCUGUCAAGUUAAUUUUCCUCGCGCUUUUUAUUGUCGCCAUCUUUUUUUACUGUUACUGUUUACCAUAAUCGGAAGAGGUUUCUAAUAUUUUUAAAACUCCCGGAAUGAAAAAGAAAAUUGCGGAAAUUUGACCAGUGGAUUCUGCUGGAUUGUUUCGGUGAGGCGGCGGUAGUAGUGGGAGUGAUUUCGGCGGGAAUCCAUCCGAAGUGCUGAACGUCAGACAUGUCAACAAAACAUGAAGCAGCCAAUUCAUCUCCUACCGACGAAAAACGUUAUCUUCCGACCUUUCGUGCUAAUCCAAGUUUAAAAUAAAACCAUACACUACCAUGAAUCCCAAUGAUCAGGUCCAGUUUUCUGCCAGUUCGAUUUGUGACGAUCGUCGGAUGUCUGGGCAUCAGCGAGGAAGGUGCGAUUCCCCUCGAAGAGGAAGUCCAUGGAAGUGCAUUACUGAGUUGCGAUGGGAUGAGUUCUGCCAAAGCAAGAAUAAUGUUUCAGCUCGGAUGCCAGAAGCUGCAAAAGCAACAGGAUCAGUUCUUCGAACUAUAGCAGGAACAUCAAUGGACCAGCUCCAGUUCGUCAUCCACCAACGGGAAACAGUCUUCAUUGUACUGUGGGGUGUACCAUAAGUAUCCAGAAAACCCGGAAGUGGAUAAACCCAAAACGGUGGUAAAGCUGCUGAGCCGAGAAACCGAAAAGAACCGACCAUUGCGUGCCCGUGCAAAUCUAUGGCAGAAGAACCGGUUCGACGGUAUUUCUUGUGCUUUCGUUGCGUAGGUGUUGUAAUUAAUCUUUUGCUUCGUUUGUAUUAGGUACUUUUCGACGGCAAAGCUCUGCCGAGCCAUGACAGACGGACACUUCGUUUUGACAGAAUGUCUCUUUCGGAAACGAGUAAACAGAGCAAUCACAAGCCCUCCUUUUCCGUGCACCUACCGUGCCCCACUAGGAAUCACAAUUCGUUUGGUUAGCCUGAUUUCUUCGGGGAUAACGAUCGAUCACCAUGCUCACAAAGCAGUCGGAUCUGCGGCCACUCGAUCCCAGCAGAUCCACGUAUAUUUCUCGGAAUAGCCUUGUCCUUAAAGCGGACAAUUCAUAAAAUAUUUAUGUAUUAUAAAUUACGAAUAUAAACCAUAAAAAGAUGUGUAUUUGAAUUUCAGAAAGUUCUUUUUUAGAUUACAAUGUAAACAAGCCGAAAAUAACAAAAAAAGAAUAAGAACAGAGAAAAGAAAAAGAAGAAGCAAUAUGGUACCCACAUCUAGAAGAAGUCUAGAAGCGAGUCUAGAAGACCCGUGGUAUUCGAGUCUAGAAGAUAUCGAGGUAAUAUCUAAGAGACCACACCUGUCAUAUCCCUAUCGGUUCAAACGGUCUACUCGUCUAAAAUUUGAGGUAGACACCGGUUUAAACGGUUGUUGCAUUUGAGGCGGAUUUGAGGUCUGACAGGUUCUAGAAAUCGACCAAAAAUAUCUAGGAGACUAAUUUUUUUGUCUCAGAGAUAUCACGGGAGAUUUCUA